GCCUUUUCAGAUAUACCUGGUUACAUCAUGAUCAGUACAGGUGCAGUGUUGUUAGCUGUUGCUGUGAUUCUAGCCGUCUACUGCAUAAUAAAAUGUCAAGGCUCGGAAACAGUCACACAAUCUCCCAGAGAGACAAAUAUAAACGAUGAAAAUGACCAACAUUCGCUUCCUCUCCAAUCAAGAGAAAAAGACAAUUUACCUGAAUCUGUAUAUCAGAGUCUAGACACAACCACAAACCAAUCAGAUUCAGUCUACCAGAGUCUGACCUCAGCUAAUAACCAAUCAGAUUCAGUCUACCACACUCUGAGCUUCAAUAAUAUUGCAGUAAGCAAUGUAUAUGUGUAAACAAUUCCACUUCAUAUCAUAUUGUGUUUGACUGUGUAAGUGACAAAUAAAAUUUUUCAUUUGAAUUAAAGAAAUCUUCUUUUCUCUUUUUGGUAAUCAUCCACAAUUCUGUCAUUUUUUUAUUAUUAUUUUUUUAUUUCUGUAAAGUUCCUUUGGUG